UACGUAGGGUGCAAGCGUUGUCCGGAAUUAUUGGGCGUAAAGGGCUCGUAGGCGGUCCAUCACGUCGGGAGUGAAAAGCUGGGGCUUAACCCCAGUCCUGCUUCCGAUACGGGUGGACUAGAGGUAGGUAGGGGAGAUCGGAAUUCCUGGUGUAGCGGUGAAAUGCGCAGAUAUCAGGAGGAACACCGGUGGCGAAGGCGGAUCUCUGGGCCUUACCUGACGCUGAGGAGCGAAAGUGUGGGGAGCGAACAGG
rnacentral:rRNA from 1 species